AGCGAACGCUGGCGGCAGGCCUAACACAUGCAAGUCGAACGGACCCUUCGGGGUUAGUGGCGGACGGGUGAGUAACACGUGGGAACGUGCCUUUAGGUUCGGAAUAGCUCCUGGAAACGGGUGGUAAUGCCGAAUGUGCCCUUCGGGGGAAAGAUUUAUCGCCUUUAGAGCGGCCCGCGUCUGAUUAGCUAGUUGGUGAGGUAAUGGCUCACCAAGGCGACGAUCAGUAGCUGGUCUGAGAGGAUGACCAGCCACACUGGGACUGAGACACGGCCCAGACGCCUACGGGAGGCAGCAGUGGGGAAUCUUGCGCAAUGGGCGAAAGCCUGACGCAGCCAUGCCGCGUUAAUGAUGAAGGUCUUAGGAUUGUAAAAUUCUUUCACCGGGGACGAUAAUGACGGUACCCGGAGAAGAAGCCCCGGCUAACUUCGUGCCAGCAGCCGCCGUAA
rnacentral:rRNA from 1 species